ACAGAGGGUGCGAGCGUUAAUCGGAAUUAUUGGGCGUAAAGGGCACGUAGGCGGUCUUUUAAGCUAGAUGUGAAAGCCCUUGGCUCAACCAAGGAAUUGCAUCUAGAACUGAAAGGCUAGAGAAAGGUAGAGGUGAGUGGAAUUUCCAGAGUAGCGGUGAAAUGCGUAGAUACCCGGAGGAACACCAGUGGCGAAGGCGACACACUGGGCCUUUCCUGACGCUCAGACGCGAAAGCAUGGGGAGCGAACAG
rnacentral:rRNA from 1 species